AUUAUUUUGGCAGAAUUAGUGCAUUAAAUUUAGAAUUUAAUUAUAUAUAAAUUUAUUAUAUAGAUAAUA
rnacentral:tRNA from 1 species